UACGUAGGUGGCAAGCGUUGCUCGGAAUUAUUGGGCGUAAAGCGCACGUAGGCGGCUCGGCAAGUCGGAUGUGAAAUCCCUCGGCUCAACCAAGGAAGUGCAUCCGAAACUGCGGAGCUUGAGUACUUAAGAGGAUCGCGGAAUUCCCGGUGUAGAGGUGAAAUUCGUAGAUAUCGGGAGGAACACCAGUGGCGAAGGCGGCGAUCUGGGAAGAUACUGACGCUGAGGUGCGAAAGCGUGGGGAGCGAACAGG
rnacentral:rRNA from 1 species